rnacentral:rRNA from 1 species
AUUGAACGCUGGCGGCAUGCCUUACACAUGCAAGUCGAACGGUAACAGGUCUUCGGAUGCUGACGAGUGGCGAACGGGUGAGUAAUACAUCGGAACGUGCCUAGUAGUGGGGGAUAACUACUCGAAAGAGUGGCUAAUACCGCAUGAGAUCUACGGAUGAAAGCAGGGGAUCGCAAGACCUUGUGCUACUAGAGCGGCCGAUGGCAGAUUAGGGAGUUGGUGGGAUAGAAGCUUACCAAGCCGACGAUCUGUAGCUGGUCUGAGAGGACAAUCAGCCACACUGGGACUGAGACACGGCCCAGACUCCUACGGGAGGCAGCAGUGGGGAAUUUUGGACAAUGGGCGCAAGCCUGAUCCAGCAAUGCCGCGUGCAGGAUGAAGGCCUUCGGGUUGUAAACUGCUUUUGUACGGAACGAAAAGCCCUGGGUUAAUACCCUGGGGUCAUGACGGUACCGUAAGAAUAAGCACCGGCUAACUACGUGCCAGCCGCCGCGGUAAAAC